UACCGGGGGGGCAAGCGUUGUUCGGAAUUACUGGGCGUAAAGGGCUCGUAGGUGGCCAACUAAGUCAGACGUGAAAUCCCUCGGCUUAACCGGGGAACUGCGUCUGAUACUGGAUGGCUUGAGAUUGGGAGAGGGAUGCGGAAUUCCAGGUGUAGCGGUGAAAUGCGUAGAUAUCUGGAGGAACACCGGUGGCGAAGGCGGCAUCCUGGACCAACACUGACGCUGAGGAGCGAAAGCCAGGGGAGCAAACGGG
rnacentral:rRNA from 1 species